CGGACGGGUGAGUAAUGCCUAGGAAUCUGCCUGGUAGUGGGGGAUAACGUCCGGAAACGGGCGCUAAUACCGCAUACGUCCUGAGGGAGAAAGUGGGGGAUCUUCGGACCUCACGCUAUCAGAUGAGCCUAGGUCGGAUUAGCUAGUUGGUGGGGUAAAGGCCUACCAAGGCGACGAUCCGUAACUGGUCUGAGAGGAUGAUCAGUCACACUGGAACUGAGACACGGUCCAGACUCCUACGGGAGGCAGCAGUGGGGAAUAUUGGACAAUGGGCGAAAGCCUGAUCCAGCCAUGCCGCGUGUGUGAAGAAGGUCUUCGGAUUGUAAAGCACUUUAAGUUGGGAGGAAGGGCAGUAAGUUAAUACCUUGCUGUUUUGACGUUACCAACAGAAUAAGCACCGGCUAACUUCGUGCCAGCAGCCGCGGUAAUACGAAGGGUGCAAGCGUUAAUCGGAAUUACUGGGCGUAAAGCGCGCGUAGGUGGUUCAGCAAGUUGGAUGUGAAAUCCCCGGGCUCAACCUGGGAACUGCAUCCAAAACUACUGAGCUAGAGUACGGUAGAGGGUGGUGGAAUUUCCUGUGUAGCGGUGAAAUGCGUAGAUAUAGGAA
rnacentral:rRNA from 1 species